rnacentral:ncRNA from 1 species
GGGCAGUGUUGCCAGGCGAAAUGAAAACAUGCUGCGUCUUUGGAUGUGGUGGGCGCAUUCGGAACGGUUUGUCGCACUUUAAAUUUCUGGGAGGGAUGACAGAUCCAGAGCUCUUUCUUGAUUCUGUGGAUUUUGGGUGCAUGUCCGUUCUUAGUUGUUAAAGUGGUUUGUCUGGUUAAUUCCGAUAACAAACGAGACUCUAGUCAAUCAGAUACGUGCGUGGUCAUCUGCACCUUGCACCCUUCUUAGAAGGAGAAGCGGCUUCUAUACUUCGUCUCUCCUUAUUAUAUAUAUAUGGACUACUGUUAGCCGCGCGUGCUCAAAGCGCGAGCAAGUCGCUUUGAAUGAAGUCACGGCGGCUACACGAGCGCUCGUGCGCGCUCGUGUAUAGCCGCACGAAACAGAGCAAUAAAAGGUCUGUGAUUCCCUUAGAUGUCCGGGGCCGCACGCGCGCUACACUGAAGGAAGCAGCGUGUUUUAUCCCUCCCUGUUAAGACAGUAAGCUUAGAAAAAAGUUCCUUGAGCAAAUACAGAGGGCCAAUUGAAGUCCAUCGGUUUACCCCCGAGCA